UACGUAGGGCGCAAGCGUUGUCCGGAAUUAUUGGGCGUAAAGAGCUCGUAGGCGGUUUGUCGCGUCUGCUGUGAAAACUGGGGGCUCAACCCCCAGCCUGCAGUGGGUACGGGCAGACUAGAGUGCGGUAGGGGAGAUUGGAAUUCCUGGUGUAGCGGUGGAAUGCGCAGAUAUCAGGAGGAACACCGAUGGCGAAGGCAGAUCUCUGGGCCGUAACUGACGCUGAGGAGCGAAAGCGUGGGGAGCGAACAGG
rnacentral:rRNA from 1 species